rnacentral:lncRNA from 1 species
GGCGGAAGCCACGUCAGACCAAGAGGCACAGCCUUGCCCAAAACACUUCCUCACUGGCUGCUGGUGCCCGCAGUUCCAGUGAAGUGUUCCCCUCCCUGAGUCAAAGGCAAAUUCAGAACAAAACCAUGUCAAGCAUUGUUCAAGCUCACGCAAAUGUGCCUCAAAGACUAGUAGAGAAUUAAUUGAUGGCUCUGCCAAGCUGGACAGAUGACAAUCACUGCUCAUGGAGAAAUCCUCUGAGGACUAACCGCUGCAGGACGCUUCCGCCCACCCUCCGAGGUGGGGAGCCCGUGGGGAAAAUUAAUCCUCGCCGCCUUGCCCGUUGCACUGGGGCGCUGAGUGAACAGGCCGGGGGGCCAGGCCCGGGCCACGUGGAGGGGCCCGCCAGCCACUCGCUCUUCACUCUCAGCGCUGACAAGAGGGCCAUCAGAGCCCGGGGUACAGCACCCCUCGGGCUGACGCCUCUCUGAUAAACGGCUUUACAGGGAGGGUUCAUAAGCAGGUUAGGAAGAAACCUGGCCUUCCUCUCUGAUCUGCUAGACAGAUAAUGGGGAUUUCUAGUCAUUAGAGCAAUGAUGCCGGAUAGGAAUUCCCACGUGGCCGCCCUAGGAAACCCCUCUGGAAAACUCCACUGCGGGGCUCAUCACAAGCCCCCUAAUCCUGGAAAAUGAACUUGAGGUUUCCUGCCCGCCCCCCACCCCGUCCCCACACACGCAACAUGGACUCCCUUGGCUAGAAUUUCGUUUUCAGCACAUUCAACAGAAAUUUGGACAUAAGGAAAUGUUCUCAGAGCGUUAAAAAAAUUUUCUUAUUUAGAAAAAAAAAUCUUCUAAUUCCAGGUGUAACCUCUUAGGGAUUAGUCAAUGAGGGCAGCCUAAUCUGGUUUCCCAGCCAGCGGGCUUGGGAUCACAGGCUGGCAAGGUGCUUGUUUAACAGGAGCCAAAGCUACCAUCCUAGGCCACUUGCUAAGUUAGGGACCACACCAGGCCUAGGACCCACCCAGGGUUCUGAGAGCCAGUCCUGAGCUCGUUCCUCACACAGUCCAGAAACCUGUGUUGAAGAAGAAAUUAUCCAGGGUCUCCUUCAUGAGCCCCUUCCAUGUGCAGGCAUAAUAAGAUCCACAGAAAAGUGGGGGAACCCUUGGUGACUCAUUUCAAAGGAUGCAGGAGUGAAGCCACGUGCUGCCGGUGGGGGGAACCUCACCCAUCCAGCCAGGCACACCAGGUUUCAAGGACUGACCCCACGUCUCUCACAAGGCGGGUGAGCUGGGGCAAGUUAUCAGAGCUCUCUGAGCCUCAGUUUCCUUAUCUGAGAAAGUAAAUAAUGCCUACCUCACAGAGCUGUCAUGAAAACAAAUUUAAAGGAGAUAACAUUUAUGAAGCUGGUAGCCCUGGUGCCCCUCCUGCUUGCUGCCUCCUGAAUCCUUUAUCCCAGAACCAAGGGUGUGAUUUUAGAUUACACGGCAUGAGCAACACGUUUGCUAAGGUGUAAUCAGCGAUUUAACAAACAUAAAUGUGCCAGAGAUCCCGCUCAGGCCAAUGAAAGACUGAGGGCUUCAGCCUCCCGGGAGAAGGGCACCUCUAGUCUGAACUGAGAGCUGAGGGGGGAGAGCCGGCGGAGGAGAGAGGCCAGGCGGCACAGACCAGAGAUGUCCCACGGAAACAGUGUGAGCGACAGAUAGAAUUUAAGAUGUUCCAGUAGCCACGUUCAAGAAAGUAAAAGAAAAUAGAGUCUUUGAAAUCAGUAUGCGUUUACACCUACAGCACAGUUCAGUUCAGACCAGCAGCAUUUCAAGGGUUCACCAUAUGGAUCAGGCAGGUGUAGACAAAUCCCCAUGCACCAACCUCGGUGCUAAGUGUUGGGAGGCCGAAAGCUUUCCACUAGAGCAGGAGUCCUGCCCUCAGGGGGCUCACUGUCUAGUUUGAGAUGUAGGGCAGAUGGGGGAAAUUUUACCAAACAAUAUACAUUUGCCUGUAGGUUCCCAAAGUGCUUAUCCUAAGGCGCUCAACCUGCAGUUCAGUCUUUUUCCUCCAAGCCUUAGACAGACCCCAAUCCCAGGGACACUAUCCCUUCCCAUAAACAGCGGUCAGAUCACACAUCUGAUUUGGGGUUUGGGAUGCGCAGCGCCCUAGGGAGCAGUUUAAGGGAAGCGGGUGCCUGGCUUUCCAAUCUCUGGAGGCCACAUAGUGCCCACUUCCUACUGGCCGAGCCCAGAUCCCAGACAAGUAGGAAAGAAACUGAAAGCAAACGCUUGGCCCUUCUCGGAACGCCUUACCUGUGUCCCCGGCGAGCAGCCGGCGCGGCAGCCGCCGUCCAUGCAGACGAGGCCGCUCUCAGCCGCGCUGCUCGCCGCCCCACCCCGUGGUCCCUGCCCCUCCCCCAGAGCCUCUGCGUUUCCUCCGCCGCCUGACAGGAGAAGCCAGUGGCGGCGGCAGCUUGCGGAGCGCUCUUUGAGCAGUGCAGGCGUGGACCUCGGCAAAACCACAGACCCAGACUGGCUUUAGAUCCCCUACCAUUUUUUUUGGAAACUUUCUCCCUUUCUGCACCCCACCCCUAUCCCCACCCUAAGUUCCUUCCUUAACUAUUUCUGCUGCUAGACUAAUUCAUACUAAGGAGUUACUGACUCAGUGGGCCAUCUUUCCCAGGGAUUUGCAUUUUUAAAGACAAAAUAAUAAUAAAAAGAGUGGCUCAAAUUUAUUGAGUGCUUCCUAGGUGCCAGGCCCUGUGCCAAGAGGAUAAUGCCUCACUCUGGGGAAUGACUGGACGAUGGUGGAAUUUCAAGCAAGGCAACACCAGGCGGAACAGGGGUGUUUAGAAUCACACUCAGUAG